GAUGUUGGGUGUCACUCUGGUUUUAGGUUUUCGAUAUUGGCAAGGGGGCCCAUCACAAUUUCAGCAAGCUCAAGCCUAAGGAAGUGAAGGUACAGAAAUUCAAGCCAUUACCCGUGGCUCUUAGAUCAUGAAUCUCUGCAUUUCAACUCCUCUCUUUAUUGUAGGACAGCUCAAUUCCCAAGAGGGAAAUGCAAAGCAGAGGUUAUUUCACUUUAAGGGACUUUCGUAAGUGAAAGCAGAGCACUUAUUUUGUUCUGGAAAAGUUGCUGAGCUGUCACUGAUUACCAAGGAAGGAAGUUAGAUAGGGUUGGCUUGCAGGCAGCAGCCUUCAUCCUCUGAGACAAGAUGAUUCUGAAGAUGUCUCUCCAGCACCCCGGGGCAGAAAUGCCUGAGGUCUCCCAGCCUGGGUCUCCCAGCUUCCAUUCCUGAACUUGGGCAGGUACUGGUGUAAUAGGAAGGGCCCGCCUCUCUCAACACAGCGGCCAGAACGUUUCUCAGCUCUUCAAGGGCCAUGCGAGGUACUGGACGAAGGUACCAGCCAGGGCAGAACUAGAUGAAGAGAUGCAAACACAUUCUGGAAACCCUGUGAAGAUAAAGGUGAUCAUGAUGAUGGGCCAAGGAGAAGAAGAGCUGUUACUGGAAAAAAGUCUGGGAAAUUUACUCAGAUACGCAGAGGAGCCAGACCAGAAACUGCUCAGGAAAUGACAUCCUGGGCAACCUUCUUGGCUUUUUUUUAAAAAAAGAAAUAAAGAAGAGCAAUUUUUUA